GGCCAGACUCCUACGGGAGGCAGCAGUGGGGAAUAUUGCACAAUGGGGGAAACCCUGAUGCAGCGACGCCGCGUGAGUGAAGAAGUAUUUCGGUAUGUAAAGCUCUAUCAGCAGGGAAGAAAAUGACGGUACCUGACUAAGAAGCCCCGGCUAACUACGUGCCAGCAGCCGCGGUAAUACGUAGGGGGCGAGCGUUAUCCGGAUUCACUGGGUGUAAAGGGAGCGUAGACGGCCAAGCAAGCCAGGGGUGAAAGCCCGGGGCCCAACCCCGGGACUGCCCUUGGAACUGCACGGCUGGAGUGCGGGAGGGGCAGGCGGAAUUCCUGGUGUAGCGGUGAAAUGCGUAGAUAUCAGGAGGAACACCGGUGGCGAAGGCGGCCUGCUGGACUGCGACUGACGUUGAGGCUCGAAAGCGUGGGGAGCAAACAGGAUUAGAUACCCCUGUA
rnacentral:rRNA from 1 species